rfam:Brassica rapa chromosome A7, whole genome shotgun sequence.
GUCCCUUCGGAGACAUCCAAUAAAAUUAGAAUGAUAUAGAGAAUAGUAGUAUGGCCUUUGUGCAAGGAUUUGCCACGCAAAUUGAGAAAUGAUCCAAAUUUCC